AGAGACAACUAAGAUUUUGUGAAGGAGGGAAGUAUUGCUGUUGAUUUUAAUUUUGCCUCAGUGUGACUGAGACAAAGAUUAGAGUGGACAUUCAGUGACUGCCACACCAUUAACUGAGAGAUAAGGCAGCUCCCUGUGCAAAAUCCCGAGGAAUAUCCUGACAAGUGUCCUGAGGAGUGCCUUGAGGAGUAUCCUGAAAAGUUCCUUGAGGGAGGCCUGAAGGAUGGAGAGUCCCAGACAGGAAUGAUCUUGGAGGACCAAAUCAGGAAAAAAGAAGAGUUUGAAGGAAAUAGAAUGUACCCAGAAAUCAUGAAUGUGUAGAAUAAGCAUGUUAUCUUUGCGGUCCCAACAAUGAUAUAAAAAUAUGUAUAUAUAAAUUAAAUAAAAAACUUAUUUCCUAGAUAGAUGGAUGGUUAAAAUAUCUAGACCUGAGAUACAGAAUGUUUUGUGAGAGAAGGUAUACAGUUUUAUUAUUUAGUAUCUGUAUUAUUUCAAACAGAGCCAGCACAUAAUAGAUGCUUAAAACAUGUGAAUAAACAAGUGAAUAAAAGAAAUUGGGUAAUUUUUGCAUUCUUGAUUUUUUACCUGGUACACUGGACAACUGAAACUCAUCUUGAUUUAUUUAACAAAAGAUAAUUCUAUAGUAGGUUAAAAUUCCACUCACAUUGAGGAUAUAAAAUGGGAAUAAAAAAGUAAAACAAUGCUUUCAGAGGAUAAAAGCAAAAUACCCUCCCCCAAAAUCUCAAACCAGCAUUUCUCAUUUUUAUUAUGUAAAAAUUACUUUUGUGGGUAAGCAACCUAAUGUUAUUAAACCUCUCCUAAGCUAUGGAUUUUUAGUGAAAACAAUGUCCUUCUAUAGAUUUUUCAUACCAGACAUUAAUUUUCUUCUGACUAACAAAAUAACAUGUCUUGUUUUCAGUUUAGCUCUUGUGAUUAAAGUCUGAAUUUCUUCUUGAAACUGUUAUUUUAUGGUUAUUUUAGGCUUUGUGCAAAAGGAAAUCUUCUGAUUUUGAAGUAUGUGAAUACUGCUAUUUUAGGAUUUUUUUUUAUUUGCUGUGUUUUGGGGGGAGUUUUGAUAAUGUUGUAUAAAAAAUAAAAAGGUCUACAGAAAUACAACAGCUUAAUGUGAACUCCUAUCUAGCCCAUAUAUGUCUAUGUUCAAGGUCAUCUCUACCUCAGCUACAAAGUUAUUCACAUUCUCAUUCUACAUUAUAAACUAUGUUUUUUAAUAUCGACCUUCUUAAGCAUUUUCUACUUACUAUAUAAACUAAUUCUUUGACUGCUUUAUCACCUAUAUUCCACAGUUCAAAUGCUACAGGGAAAAUUAGUUUAAGGGACAUAAGAGCAAAUUUGAGGUGGCAGCUUUAUUUUUUCUGAAGUUGCAGGCAUUUUUGGCUAUGUAUACUACUCAGACUGAGAAGCAGCAUAAUGAAAGAAAUUAUUCAGGCAAUUAUUGAAAAGGAUUAGUGGUAAAAUUGAGAGGAACCGUGUGCCUCUGUACCCUCUACUACCUGAAGGACAGAGAUAAGGUGGUGCGGCCGAGCCUCAAGAAGCCGUUGAGGAACCCUGGGCUCCCUUCAGGGGGACUAUCAGAGUGAGGAACUGUUAGUGAAGUAAGAAUAGGAUGGCUUUAUGGGUUUUUCUCACCUGCACACAAAGUUUGUGUCAAAAACCAUCAGUCCAUGUAAUCCUGGUUCACUGUCUGUAGUUUUUGUUUGUUUGUUUUGUUUUUAAACAGAUAAUUAGAAUAUAGAUUUCAGAUGUCUAACACAGCAAUACUGCCUAACACAAUAGCCAUUAAAUCCAGGAUCUAGAAAUAUUUCACAUCAUUCUACAUUUAUCUUUCUAGAGAAGAAUUCCAAAAUAUGUUACAUAAAGCAAAACUAUUAU